UAUCUCUUUAUUAUUUUGGAAGCCCACUCCUCUCCUCAUGACAUAAUUUAAUAUUUUUUUAUCACAUAUCAUUGUACCUUAUAAGAAGGCAGAUCAGUAUGUUAUCAUCUUUCAAUACAGUCAGCUUUUUGUAUACCACUUUUUGUGAAUAUACAAUAUGAUUAACAUCUAUUUAUUUUUCCAUGCUUUUUUUUUUUUUUGUUACCAUAUGCUUAAUUUUUUUUCUCUUUACUCAAUUUGUCAACAGUUUUGUAAUUUAUCUAAUAACACAGGUAGAAGCUUGAACUAUCUCCUCAUCAGACUCUCAUUUCAUCUCUGAUAGAGUCCCGUGAGUCAGGGUCUAGCCAACAGUCUUUCGAAAUGUUGCUUGAGCUAGCACUGUUCCAACAGUGUUACUUGACUCAAUGAUCUCACAGUACUUUUACAGUGACCUCAUUAUCCUAAUUCUUCCCCUUAUGUCUUACAACAUGGCUGAGCGUUUUCUUAAUGCUUGACCGAAAAAUUUCUUCUGCCUUCACUCCUAACAUUUACUUUUAUUUCCAGCCAACUUAUCAACUCAGUCUAUUUAUGGUUUAUUUAGGCUUGGACAUCACACAUAUGCUUCCACGUUUAUCCUGGGUUUCAGAAUAACCCUUGUUAAACAAUAUAAUUCAUAUAUUUCUUGCAUUACAUUUAUUACUAAAUAUUGCCAUUAUUGAUUUUCUAAAUAACAAGCUGCAGUAAUUUUCAUAUACAAUCAAUUUUUCCAAAUCAAGUACUCACAUCAGCUUUGAUGACAACUCUUUUCUACCGUUUUUUUACUCAUGAUGAUACAACCUUGUAUCACCCUUCAGAAAAUUUUAACAUUUUUUUGAGUCAUUCGCUUCUAUAUUAAAGCUACUACCCACAAAUUGUUCAUUUUUCGGCUCAUAUAUUUCCUCAAUUAAAUUUAUUGUCUUCCCACACUUGCUUCUCUCUGUAAAAAUUUUCUUCUCAUGUAUACUGACAAUUUAUGCUUAAUAAAUCCUCUCCUUUACGUCUCUGAACAACUAAAUUUUUCGGUAUCAAAAAGAAUCUGCCAUUUGUAGGAUUAGGUAUUUUAUAAUGAAAUCUUAUCCUUACCAUUUUUUCUUAUACAACUCUCUAGCUCCUGUGUUCCCACUAUGCAUCAUUAUGUGACUAUGAGUAACUACUAAUAUCACUACCAUCUAGAAGUCAACAAUAUUCCUAUUUUUAUACCAAUUAUGAUGAUAACACCUAUGACAUGCUGCACAUUUUUAUUGUCUUGAUAUGUGUCUCCCUGUGUGUUUCUACUUCCCCCAUUUGUUUGUAUGCUGCUGGUGAAACAAGUAACUGAUGACCAUUACAAGAGGCCAUAAUUUCCUUAUUACACAAACAAUAUAACUCACCGAACAUAUUUCAAGAUCGGAGCAAAACGGUUUAAGCAGUCAAGUAAGUUAAUCAUGAAAUGUAUGAGAGUGAGAGCUUGUAUGAUGAUAACUUGUGCGCAACACAGAACCAGAAUGAAUAGCUUAACUAAUUUUAUCAUAAAUUUUUCUGUUGUGGCCAAAAUUUGUCACUAAUUAUUUCAGUAAAGCACCAGAUUUCACAGGCGACUCAACAACAAUUAACUGCAACAUCCAUUUCAACAAAUCAUUACAAAUCUCAUGUCAUAUUUGUCACAUCCUAUUCUUACAAUAUCCUAAAUUUUGCAAUAUCAGUCUGAUAAUAUCUUUGCAAUAUUAAUCUAUGCAAUAUUAUCUUUGCAACACUUUCCUUUGCAAUAUAAAUCCCACCUCUGCCACCAGUGUUGUGCUUCUGUGUUGCAUGAUCUUGCUGUGUCUUUAAUCACAACUAAUAUUCAAUGAGGAAACACAUCCUACAUCUAUCCAGUCCCUUUCUGUCAAUAUAUAACAUGAACAUUUUACUCUGACUGCAAUACAAAUGUCAGGCUCUACUUACUGGUACUGUGACAGGCGGCUUGCCCAUCUUGACCUCUCUGGUCUGACAACUCUGUCUAGCUUGUCUCUCUGUCUGCUUCUAUCUAUUCCCAUCUCCUGCACCUCAUAAUAUACAUGUGAUGUUAGAAGAACAUUUUGCCCCCACAAGGUUUCCAUUGCUAUAAGAUUUAUUUUCCAAUACUUUGAUCAUAUGGUUUAUUUUCUUAUAACUUUCAAUAAGGUUAAUUUUCAAGUAACUGUUUAUUUUCCCAUACUUCGACCAUACAGUUGAUUUUCCUAUACUUUCCAAAAGAUCCAGUUUCAAGUAACUAAAUUUAUCUUCCUGUACUUCAAUCAUACAGUUUAUUUUCCCUUAAGGUUCAUUCUCAAGUAAUUUUGGUAAUCACGUAUUCUAAGGAGGCAGCAUUUCCUAUGGCGUGCCAACUCUCCAUGUUGUCCACGUCAUUUGCUUUCAGUGACUUCUGCUUCCCUUGUAUACUAAUGCUAUGGGAGAGUCACCCUCAUUACUGACAGUGGAUGAGGACCUGACUUUCCAAAUCAUCCAUCAUACAGAUGAUGUCCCUCAAUGGCAGAACUUGAGCAAUUUAUAGUAAAUCUGAAGUUGUGAGACCUGUGUGGGCUAGUGCAGACACAACAGGAGGUGGUGGUAGGCACAACAGGAGCUGGUGGCAGGCACAACAAGAGAUGGUGGCAGGCACAAUGAGAGGUGGUGGCAGGCACAAUAGGAGGUGUUAGAGUCUCAUCAGCAAUCUGCCCACAUACAAAGAGAAUUUUUAGAUUUAUUCAAGCAGUUUAUGGCUCAUGCCACUGAGUGCUUUAAGGCCAACACUAAACAUUAACACACUUCCGAAAA